rnacentral:rRNA from 1 species
AUUGAACGCUGGCGGCAGGCCUAACACAUGCAAGUCGAACGAGCGGCGGACGGGUGAGUAAUGUCUGGGAAACUGCCCGAUGGAGGGGGAUAACUACUGGAAACGGUGGCUAAUACCGCAUACUAUCGGAUGUGCCCAUAUGGGAUUAGCUAGUAGGUGGGGUAAAGGCUCACCUAGGCGACGAUCCCUAGCUGGUCUGAGAGGAUGACCAGCCACACUGGGACUGAGACACGGGCCAGACUCCUACGGGAGGCAGCAGUGGGGAAUAUUGCACAAUGGGCGCAAGCCUGAUGCAGCCAUGCCGCGUGUAUGAAGAAGGCCUUAGGGUUGUAAAGUACUUUCAGCGGGGAGGCGUUACCCGCAGAAGAAGCACCGGCUAACUCCGUGCCAGCAGCCGCGGUAAUAC